GUUAUUUGCCUUGAGGAUAUAAGGUGCAAGAUUGUGUUUUGGUUGCAGUUUUGCAUGAUAAUAAUCAUUGAUGUAUAUUUCUCCCUACUACUCAGUUUCGUAUUCCUAACCUGGAUUAAAAUUGAGUAUUAAAGAUCAGAAGUUUGUUAUAAAAUGGAGCAUAUGCAAAGGAAGAAAUUGAAUUAUAUUUCAAUGCGGCAAGUGGCACCUUUUCUUGGUGUGCACUUCUGUUUAAAGUAUUUUUAUUCAUUCAUUUAUAUUAUUGUUGUCAUUCUUAUUUUAAGGUAAUGACCUUGAAGUCCAUUCCAAUAGUAUUAUAUUCUUAUGUCACUCACAUAUCUAUAUGUACAUUGAUGGAGCCUCUUUUCCUUUGUGUUAUUUAAUCAGUUUGUAAUUAAAAAAAAAAUGAUGCCAUGGUCUGCGUUGUUUUUUGGCAGGGCAUACAAAGGAGAGGUCGAU
rnacentral:misc_RNA from 1 species